GCGAGACUUCGGCGGCGCAGCAAUGGCCAGACCAUGCCGCGUCACUGCUCCGCCGCCGGCUGCUGCACACGGGACACGCGCGAGACGCGCAACCGCGGCAUCUCCUUCCACAGGUCAGCGCGCGUGCGCCGCGGGCUCACGUGCGCAUGCGCUAGUUGUUGCUCGCCUCGGGUCGCAACUGCGUAGAGGCUUCGCGCCUUUCUCGGAUACUGAGGAGGCUUGAACCUGUGGGUGGGAGGUGAAGCGGAACGGUCCCGGCGGGACUGAAGGCAGUCGGGAAGGGGAGGACGGGAAGUCUAGCCGGCUUGGACCCGCCCCACUCUGUUACCUGCCAGAUGACGCUGAGGAAACUGCUUUUCUUCUCGAGGCCUCCGUUGCCUCGUCUGUGCCCGGGCGGUGGUGCUUACCCGGCGGGGUCGCAGGGAGGUCUCGUGGCGGCGCGUGUUGGGUCUGCGUUUCCCCUCUGGGGAGCUUGGGCAGCAUGAGCCCAGGGCUGUGGACAGCCUGGUGCUCACGGGUUUGUGGCUCCACAGACUUCCCAAGAAGGACAACCCGAGGCGAGGCUUGUGGCUGGCCAACUGCCAGCGGCUGGACCCCAGCGGCCAGGGCCUGUGGGACCCGGCAUCCGAGUACAUCUACUUCUGCUCCAAACA
rnacentral:sRNA from 1 species